rnacentral:lncRNA from 1 species
CAACAACAAAAAAUGCUGGGUUGUUUGAACGACCCAACUGCUGGUUUGCAGGGAUUGUGUCACUUAGUUGUGUUUUCUUUAACAAGAGCAAGGUUCUGAUCUUAAUGCUGGGUUAUUGAGAUAUGACCCAGUGGGUGGAUUAUUUCUCCCACAAAUGUAGAAGAUCAACGUGAUCCAGCAAGCUCGUGAAUGAGGAUUGUUGGAGCUGUGUACCAUACAGUGCAGCUGGCACUGAGUGGAAUUACUGACAAUUACUGGCACUGAGUGGAAUGACUUUUAGACAGGCAAAUGGGCAAGGCUUUGUAGCUGACCAAAAACGAUACUAAAGACGACAUGGUCCUGAGAGUGCUUUUCCCACCACCAGUGUAACAAGUUGGAAAGAAGACUGUCCAUCCAAGCAUUGAUGAGCUCAGAAAGUCAUAAUAUAGCUCGCCAGGCUGGAACCAAUAUGGCUGAAUAUCUCCCCUAAGCGACCAAAAGAACAAAAGACUCUUGGGGACAAUCGCCUCUACUCCCUGGCAUUCACCAUCAUGAAUGGGCAGGCUCUGGAGAAAACAUUACGUUUCGUUGUUGUUGUUUUACAUUCAUUCCUAUUGACAAUGUAUACCUGCUAGUGGUUGGGGGAGUAGAGGGUAAAGUGUUUACUUUUCUUCAGCCCCGUUCCUCAGCUUUAAUUGGCAGGGCUGCUGGGAUUAACAAAUUCUGGGUUGUACUUCUAAAGUUUGUUUAUUUGUGUGUUCCUUAUUUGUUGUUUAUCUUUGGCAUUACAUAAUUUUGUAGCUGAAAUUAAUACCUGAAAAUUAACAUUUUGUAUUUUAUCAAAAAUGUGUCAUGAUUAGCCAUAUGUCAUUUUAAGAAUUUCAUAGACUGUUUAGUUACGUUGUAACAUUGAUUGUUAUUGUUAGAAUUAUUUGUACCUUUAAAAAAUGUACACAUUAUGUAGACCAAAAAAAAAACAGCAAUAAAAUAAGAAAUAAUCAACUGCUGGGUCUAAAACACAUGAAUAACAAAAAUAAAAAAAAGCAGCCCACUGCUGGGUCAAAAUAACCACAUUUUGGUGGUAAAUCACAUAACCCAACAGUGCUGGAUCAAAAUAACCCAGUGCUGGUUAUGUACUGUAGUUACCCAGCGCUGGGUUACAGAAAUUACGCAAAUUGGUCAUAAUUGACCCAGCAUUUUUUAGAGUGCAUGUGAUGUUCUGAAAUGUAGAUAUGCAUUAUAUGCUGCUG